UACGUAGGGUGCAAGCGUUAAUCGGAAUUACUGGGCGUAAAGCGUGCGCAGGCGGUGCUGUAAGACAGAUGUGAAAUCCCCGGGCUCAACCUGGGAACUGCAUUUGUGACUGCAUCGCUGGAGUGCGGCAGAGGGGGAUGGAAUUCCGCGUGUAGCAGUGAAAUGCGUAGAUAUGCGGAGGAACACCGAUGGCGAAGGCAAUCCCCUGGGCCUGCACUGACGCUCAUGCACGAAAGCGUGGGGAGCGAACAGG
rnacentral:rRNA from 1 species